GUGCUCGCUUCGGCAGCACAGAUUACUAAAAUUGGAAUGAUACAGAGAAGAUUAGAUGGCUCCUGCCCAAGGAUGACACACAAAUUCGAAGUGACUCCAGCUGGGUAU